ACAGGAUCUCACUCUGUCACCAAGGCUGGAGUGCAGCAGCAGAAUUUCAGCUCACUGCAACCUCGACUUGCUGGGUUCAAGGGAUCUCCCAAGUAGCUGGGACUACAGCUGCACACCAUCAUGCCUGGCUAAUUUUUUGUAGGGAUGGGGUUUUACCAUGCUGCCCAGGCUGGUCUUGAACUUCUGAGUUCAAGUGAUCCUCCCUCCUGAGCCUCCUAAAGUGCUGGGAUUACAGGUUUAAAAAAUAUCCUGGACUUUGGAAAAUAUUCUUAUAUAAAGAAGCAAAAAGAGGAUGGAAUAGACUUGUGCUAACACUGAAACUCCAGUCAAGUUGUAAACUGAAAAAGAACGUGUUGAAACAAGGAAUUGCCCCAUAGCCUUCACAGGAUCUCACUCUGUUGCAGUGUCACUGGAGUGCAGUGGUGCAGUCUUGGCUUCCUGCAACAUCUGCCUUCCAGAAUCAAGCAAUUAUCCAGCUUCAGCCUCCCGAGUAGCUGGGACCACAGACGUGCCACCAUGCCUGGCUUAUUUUUUUAUUUUUUGUAGAGAUGGGGUUUCACCAUUGUUGCCCAGGCUGGGCUCAACUCCUGAGCUCAAAGUGAUCCAUCUGCCUCAGCCUCCCAAAGUGCUGGAAUUACAGGCUCAGUCUAUACUAGUAUAUUUACAACUAUAUUUUAUUACAAUAUUUAUUAAAUAUUGUUGUCUUUUGCUAGGAAACU